rnacentral:tRNA from 1 species
GCCCUGGUAGUGUAGUUCGGCACGUUGACAAUCAAACGAUUUCACGCGAUAACUAUCAUGAAGCCCUGUCGAGGCUUCGACCCGGGUUCGAAUCCCGGCCAGGGCG